rnacentral:rRNA from 1 species
GACGAACGCUGGCGGCGUGCUUAACACAUGCAAGUCGAACGCUGAAGCUCAGCUUGCUGGGUGGAUGAGUGGCGAACGGGUGAGUAACACGUGAGUAACCUGCCCCCUUCUUUGGGAUAACGCCCGGAAACGGGUGCUAAUACUGGAUAUUCACUGAUCUUCGCAUGGGGGUUGGUGGAAAGGUUUUUUCUGGUGGGGGAUGGGCUCGCGGCCUAUCAGCUUGUUGGUGGGGUGAUGGCCUACCAAGGCUUUGACGGGUAGCCGGCCUGAGAGGGUGACCGGUCACAUUGGGACUGAGAUACGGCCCAGACUCCGACGGGAGGCAGCAGUGGGGAAUAUUGCACAAUGGGCGAAAGCCUGAUGCAGCGACGCCGCGUGAGGGAUGGAGGCCUUCGGGUUGUAAACCUCUUUCGCUCAUGGUCAAGCCGCAACAUUGGUUGUGGUGAGGGUAGUGGGUAAAGAAGCGCCGGCUAACUACGUG